rnacentral:lncRNA from 1 species
AUAAGUGUCCAAGUCUUUGUCGCUUCCCAUGAACAGGCUAUCCAGCUACCAACCCACAUAUGAUCCUUAAUUUCGAGCACGGAGGGAAGCCACGGAGCCUAGAAGAUGAAAUGCAAUGUCAGUGCUCUUCAGGUAUUUGUUCAAGACUUAAGUUGGUAUCUUUCCUUGGUCAUCGUUUGCACCUGAUGGAUGGACUUACUUCAUUCUCUGGGCAUCUUCUAAAGUCUCCAGAGUCAGAGAGCCUGAAGCUUCAUCCUUGCCCAUUUCUAUCAUUUGCUCUCAGUGGUUUCAUUCAUUUUCAUGGACUUAAGAAUACCAUUUAUGUGCUGAUGACCCCCAAAUGUUUGUUUGUAGGCCAGACCUUCUUUUAUCCAUGCACAUUGACCUAGAUAUUUCAUUUCUGCAUUUGGAGACUUAAUAGCUGCUUCAAACAUCAUGUCACCUGGUUCCUCUUUUCACUUACACCACAAAUCCAUAAGCGACUUCAGUCUAUACUUUCUCCUUAUUGUAUCUGGAGGUCCUCCACUCCUUUCUGUAACUAAUGUUUCACCCAAGGCCCAACGUUCAUCAUCUCUUUCCAAAAUUAAUAUAGUUUUCUUGAAAAUGCUCUCACUUCUUUACUCUUGCUUCUCUCUGUUCGCCACAUAACAGCCAGAUUUUUUUUUUUUUUGUCUGAUUUUAUUGCUUGUUUUUAAAAGUAAUAGGAGGAGCCUGGGUGGCUCAGUUGGUCGAGCGUCUGACUUUGGCUCAGGUCAUGAUCUCAUAGUUUGUCAGUUUGAGCCCUGCGUUGGGCUCUGUGCUGACAGUUCAGAGCCUGGAGCUGUUUCAGAUUCUGUGUCUCCCUCUCUCUGUGCACCUCCUCCACUUACACUCUGUCUCUUUCAGAAAUGAAUAAACAUUAAAAAAAAAAAAAGUAAUAGAAGUCAGUUUUUCCAGCCUUUCACCCUCCAAGUUCAUGGACACAGAAACAAACUUUAUAAAUCUGGAUUUAUAAAGAUAUCACGUUCUGACAGUUACUUGGGUAGGAAGAAAUGGGUAUGGAAGUUAAUUAAGCCAUCAUAUAGAAAGAAUGAUCUUCUGAGUUAGAGAAUAGAGGGAAAUAUCUAAAGUAUAAUCCAAGAAAAAUCCUGUAUGCAAUAGUAGAUCUUUACCAAUUUUCACAAGCAUAGUCCACAAUCCUAAAAAUAGUGUUUACGUAGCAAUACUUAAGACCUUAUUAGUGUGAUAACGGAUAUAUACACACAGGAUGACAUUCUUAAAGAGAAAAUCAGGACAUGUCACCUGUCUCCCACCGUUACCUUGAAUGGCAUCUUGCAACUAUUAGUAUAAUAUCUUAAUUCUUUCCAGGAUCCUCCCACAUGUGAGCAUUUCCUGACUCUUGCCCAAAUUUUUGCUUACUUUUUUAUGUAAAAAUUUUUAAUGUUUAUUUAUUUUUGAGAGAGAGAGACAGAGAAUCCCAAGCAAGCUCUGAGCUGCCAGCGCAGAGCCCAACACAGGCCUCAAACUGAUGAACUGUGAGAUCAUGACUUGAGCCGAAAUCAAGAGUCGGACGCUUAACCGACUACCCAGGCGCCCCUAAAAAUUUUUUUUAAG